rnacentral:rRNA from 1 species
AGUGAACGCUGGCGGCGUGCUUAACACAUGCAAGUCGAACGGGAACGGGUUAUAGCUUGCUAUAAUUGUCAGCUAAGUGGCGCACGGGUGAGUAAUGUAUAGGUAAUAUGCCUCUUACUAAGGGAUAACAAAUGGAAACGUUUGCUAAUACCUUAUACUCCUUAUUAACAUAAGUUAAUAAGGGAAAGAUUUAUUGGUAAGAGAUUAGCCUGUAUUGUAUCAGUUAGUUGGUGGGGUAAUGGCUUACCAAGACUAUGACACAUAACUGGUUUGAGAGGAUGAUCAGUCACACUGGAACUGAGACACGGUCCAGACUCCUACGGGAGGCAGCAGUGGGGAAUAUUGCACAAUGGACGAAAGUCUGAUGCAGCAACGCCGCGUGGAGGAUGACACAUUACGGUGCGUAAACUCCUUUUAUAUGAGAGGAUAAUGACGGUAUUAUAUGGAUAAGCACCGGCUAACUCCGUACCAGCCGCCGCGGUAA